rnacentral:rRNA from 1 species
UAGACCCUACGGGGGGCAGCAGUGAGGAAUAUUGGUCAAUGGGCGCGAGCCUGAACCAGCCAAGUCGCGUGAGGGAUGACGGUCCUACGGAUUGUAAACCUCUUUUGCCGGGGAGCAAGCGUGCGUUCGUGAACGCGCGUCGAGAGUACCCGGAGAAAAAGCAUCGGCUAACUCCGUGCCAGCAGCCGCGGUAAUACGGAGGAUGCGAGCGUUAUCCGGAUUUAUUGGGUUUAAAGGGUGCGUAGGCGGGAUGCCAAGUCAGCGUUAAAAGCCCGGGGCUCAACCCCGGCGUGCCGCUGAAACUG